rnacentral:rRNA from 1 species
AAAUAAUACAAUUAAAUUAUUUUAGUUUUAAUAAAUUGAUAAUUUUGAAUUUUACAAAUAAAUUUAAUAAGUGAAAUUUUAAAUUUUGUUAAGAUUUAUAUUUUUUAAUGAUUUAAGAAAUUUUAGAUAUAAACUAGGAUUAGAUACCCUAUUAUUUAAAAUGUAAUUUUAAAAACUAAAUUAAUACAAGAUAUGUUCUCGAAAAUUAAAGAUUUUGGCGGUAUUUUAGUCUAUUCAGAGGAACCUGUUCUAUAAUUGAUAGUCCACGAUUUAAUUUACUUGUUUUAUUAAUUUAUAUAUCGUCGUAGUUUGAAUAUUUUAUUAGAAUUUUAAUAUUCAAGAUUUUUAAUAAUAAAAAAAAUCAGAUCAAGGUGUAGUUUAUAGACAAGUAGAAAUGGGUUACUAUAAUAUAAAUUUAGGAUAAUUAUUUUUGAAGUAAUUUGAAUGAGGAUUUGAAAGUAAUUUUAAUUGAUUAAUUAAAAUGAUUUUAGCUCUAAAAU